CACACUUCCAUGCAUCUUUUGCGUUACCAUGGUUAAGUCAAUUCUUCCACUAGUGGGCAAUACUAAGUUCAGAGUUCUCUCCUGCGAGCCAAGUCAUUUUGUUUCCAA